CCUACGGGAGGCAGCAGUGAGGAAUAUUGGUCAAUGGACGAGAGUCUGAACCAGCCAAGUAGCGUGAAGGAUGACUGCCCUAUGGGUUGUAAACUUCUUUUAUAUGGGAAUAAAACGUUCCACGUGUGGGAUUUUGUAUGUACCAUAUGAAUAAGGAUCGGCUAACUCCGUGCCAGCAGCCGCGGUAAUACGGAGGAUCCGAGCGUUAUCCGGAUUUAUUGGGUUUAAAGGGAGCGUAGGUGGAUUGUUAAGUCAGUUGUGAAAGUUUGCGGCUCAACCGUAACAUUGCAGUUGAAACUGGCAGUCUUGAGUACAGUAGAGGUGGGCGGAAUUCGUGGUGUAGCGGUGAAAUGCUUAGAUAUCACGAAGAACUCCGAUUGCGAAGGCAGUUCACUGGACUGCAACUGACACUGAGGCUCGAAAGUGUGGGUAUCAAACAGGAUUAGAUACCCUUGUAGUC
rnacentral:rRNA from 1 species